ACUUACAGUGAAUUCCAUGUGACCUAAACUGAAGGGCUGUGGUCGAUUCAGUUUGUCUGUCACUAAUCAAUAAAUGGCUGAUGAUGUGUCUGGAUGUGAAGCUGCGCCUCCUGCAGCGCCCCCUGCCUUUCUGAUGAUAAACUGCAGCUGCAGGGAAACACCAACACACCGGAAGUCAUUUUUAUGACAUAGCAAUAAAUACAUUUGAAAACGCAAAACGACAGAAAAAUCGAAAGUUACUCUGAGUCAAAUAUGUGUAAAAUGCUUAUGUCGAUUUUUUAUUAUUUACAGUUAAAUAUUGGUCACUGUCGUGGCGUGAUGACGCCAUGUCAGUCCCGGUCUUUUAUUGCGAAGGUCCGUACCGGACGUGUGUGUGAGUGAGUGAGAGGGCUGGUACCUCCCUGCAACGGAGGAGAGAGGAGGAGGGGAGCGGAGCUGAAGGUCACAGCAGGAGGAUCAGCAUCACCAUCCUCAUCAUUGAGAUUAAUCGGUGAUUAACGAUCAAGCGAUCGGAUUCAUCAGCUGAGGACAGCGUCCUGACAUGAGACAAGAGGUCUCACUGCUGCCUGUCUGUCUGUCCGUCUGAUCCUCCACCAGCAGCCUCCACCUGUCUCUCGCUGCCUCCGUUUCUGCUCCUGUCUGUUUCUCCGUCUGUCUCACCGCCAUGGGGAACCGGGGGAUGGAGGAGCUCAUCCCGCUGGUCAACAGGCUCCAGGACGCUUUCGCCGCCAUCGGCCAGAACUCGAACCUGGACCUGCCGCAGAUCGCGGUGGUCGGCGGGCAGAGCGCCGGGAAGAGCUCCGUACUGGAGAACUUCGUGGGCAAAGACUUCCUCCCUCGUGGUUCUGGUAUCGUCACUCGGCGCCCCCUGGUGUUGCAGCUCAUCAACUGUCCAACAGAGCAUGCUGAGUUCCUGCACUGUAAAGGGAAGAAGUUUACAGACUUUGAGGAAGUUCGUCAGGAGAUUGAAGCUGAAACUGAUCGAAUCACUGGGCAGAACAAAGGAAUCAGCCCGGUCCCCAUAAACCUACGAGUCUACUCACCCAACGUGCUGAACCUGACCCUGGUGGAUCUGCCCGGGAUGACGAAGGUCCCUGUGGGUGACCAGCCGGCUGACAUCGAGCACCAGAUCAGGGACAUGAUCAUGCAGUUUGUCACCAAGGAAAACUGCCUCCUGUUGGCCGUGUCCCCCGCCAACUCUGACCUUGCCAACUCUGAUGCUCUGAAGAUCGCCAAGGAGGUCGAUCCACAAGGGCUGAGGACCAUCGGUGUGAUCACCAAACUAGAUCUGAUGGAUGAAGGAACUGAUGCCAGGGACAUUCUGGAGAACAAACUGCUGCCAUUACGCAGAGGUUACAUCGGCGUUGUGAACCGCAGUCAGAAGGACAUCGAUGGAAAGAAAGACAUCACAGCAGCUCUGCAGGCUGAGAGGAAGUUUUUCCUGUCUCACCCGUCAUACCGACACCUGGCUGACCGCAUGGGCACUGCUUACCUGCAGAAAGUCCUCAAUCAGCAACUGACCAACCACAUCCGGGACACGUUGCCGGGGUUACGCAGCAAACUUCAGAGCCAACUGCUGUCUAUUGAGAAGGAGGUGGAGGAGUACAAGAACUUCAGGCCAGAUGACCCGGGACGCAAGACCAAAGCCCUGCUGCAGAUGGUGCAGCAGUUUGCGGUGGACUUUGAGAAGCGGAUUGAAGGAUCUGGAGACCAGGUGGAAACCUACGAGCUGUCAGGAGGAGCAAAAAUCAACCGAAUCUUUCAUGAACGCUUCCCCUUUGAGCUGGUCAAGUUGGAGAGUGAUGAAAAGACUCUUCGUAAAGAAAUCAGCUAUGCCAUCAAGAACAUCCAUGGAAUCAGGACAGGUCUGUUCACACCUGACAUGGCGUUUGAGACGAUCGUGAAGCGUCUAAUCGCUCAGAUCAAAGAACCGUGUCAGAAAUGUGUGGACAUGGUGAUCAGUGAGCUGGUCAACACUGUGAGACAGUGCACGCAGAAGUUGGCUCAGUACCCGAUGCUCCGAGAGGAGAUGGAGAGAAUCGUGACUCAGCACAUCAGAGACCGAGAGAGUCGCACCAAAGACCAGGUGAUGUUGCUGAUUGACAUUGAGUUGGCCUAUGUGAACACAAACCAUGAAGACUUCAUCGGCUUUGCAAACGCUCAGCAAAAGAGCAGUCAGAUGAACAAGAAGAAAGCAGCAGGAAACCAGGACGAGAUCAUGGUGAUCCGUAAAGGCUGGUUGACCAUCAACAACAUCGGCAUCAUGAAGGGAGGAGCUAAAGAGUAUUGGUUUGUCCUGACUGCUGAGACCCUGUCCUGGUACAAAGAUGACGAGGAAAAGGAGAAGAAGUACAUGCUACCUGUAGACAACCUGAAGCUCAAAGACAUUGAGAAGAGCUUCAUGUCCAGCAAACACAUCUUUGCCCUGUUUAACACUGAACACAGGAACGUAUAUAAAGACUACCGUCAGCUGGAGUUGGCCAGUGAGUCUCAGGAGGAGGUGGACAGCUGGAAGGCUUCUUUCCUGCGAGCUGGAGUGUACCCUGAACGCGCCGUGGAUAAAGAGAAGGUGGAGGUGGAGGAGGCGAGUGGAGACGGGCAGAUCCACAGUCUGGACCCUCAACUGGAGCGACAGGUGGAGAUCGUCAGGAACCUGGUGGACUCGUAUCUCGCUAUCAUCCACCGCACCGUCAAAGAUCUCAUCCCUAAGACCAUCAUGCACCUGAUGGUCAACAACGCGAAGGAGUUCAUACACUCUGACCUGCUGGCUCAACUUUACUCCUGUGGAGACCAAAACACUCUGAUGGAGGAGUCCCAGGAACAGGCUCAGCACCGUGAUGAGAUGCUGAGGAUGUAUCACGCUCUGCGUGAAGGCCUCAGUAUCAUCGGUGACAUCAGCACCUCCACCAUCACCACGGCGAUGCCUCCACCUGUUGACGACUCAUGGCUACAGGUGACGGGGAUGCCUUCAGGACGCAGGUCUCCCAUGUCCAGUCCGACCCCCCAGCGUCGGGCUCCUCCUGGACCACCUCGUCCAGGCGGUCGUGCGGCCCCUGGCCCUCCAUCUCGUCCAGCAGUGUCACCUGACCCUGGACCACCUCCCUCUGUCCCCUCCCGACCCAACAGAGCGCCCCCCCCUGGAGUCCCCAGUCGGAGGGCUCCCGCAUCUCCAUCUCGACCCUCCAGAGCAGACCCUGACUCCUCCCUCUAACACCCACAGGUCAUGUUAUUAGGAUGAGUUCUACCUGCUGUUUUUCACCUUGCUGUACUGCCACAUCAGAGGCACCAGCUUAAGUUUUCUUCUGUCAUUUUUCCUGAGAUGAUGACAGAAGUCAUCCAUGUCUAUACCCAGUCCACACCUUGUUUUCUACCCUCUGCUCUCCUGUUUCGCGUUCUGGCUGAGACCCAGUUGUGAUCAUCGGCGUGAAGAUGUACAUGAUUCUUCGUCCCAGUAAAGGUAGUCCGGCCCACGGAGAGAGCCCCCAGUCUUCUGUCGAGGGUUAACCUGAACCAACCAUCAGGUUCCAUCUGGUUCCAACCAGUUCCACUGCUAAUUUGGACUAAACUGGCUCCACCUGUUUCCAGCUGCCUCUGACAAGUUGUCAUUGGUCCUCCUUGUUAUCAGCGUUUAAACCAACAGACUCAGUUAUAGUAAACUGUCAACAAAAAUCUGUAAUGUUCACAAUGUGAUUACAGCAGUCAUUUUAUAUAGAAUUAGGAUUAGCUUUAUAAUUUGGCUCUAAUUAAUUGGACGUAACUAAUCUGAAAUGUACCAACUAGACCUCGAAGUUAAAACAGAGCUGUAAAUCACAGAAAUCUUGUCAAAAAACAUACAUGGAGGUUAUAAGGGAAUAGAAAAAUAAAGUGACAGUUCAGAUCACGACAUGAUUCUAAAAUCAAAACAGAAUUUGUAGCAAUAGAAAGGAGUUGCUUCUGAGAUUUGUCUGAUGUCUUUAGUUUCAACAUUUUAUGAAUGUUUUCUGAGUUUAUGAAAGUGCUGUUUCUGGUUGUUGGUGAACGAAUCCAGCAGAUGAAAACGUUGCAGGAGACUUUGGUCACAGCACAGUUAGCAGUCAGAUGUUUGCAGCUGUUUCAAGACACCAGCUGUUGACUGAACGUGAAGCACAGACCGAUCUAAUCUGAACUCUAACUGCUCAUCUAGCCAUUCUAUCUGUGUAUGCUGUUCCUGUUGUGGUGAUUCUGUAGAGUUGUUGAGGUCAGAGUUGCGUUCAGCACAACAUGUGCUUCACUGCGUUUGUAGCUGUCAAGUGUGAGAUUAAUGUCAGCAUGAAAGUGAAGCUUUGACUUGGUAGUUUUUCAGUAGUUUUGAAGUGUUUUAUGAUUUGGAUUGUUGGUAAAUCCUCAGUGAAGUGUUGCAGCAGUGUGUUUGACGCAGCUCAGCCUCCUACACACACACACACACACGCACACACACACACGCCUGUGAUUGUGGAUAGUUCACUCUGUGGUAACAUAAAUGUAAUGUUUACAGAACCUAUGAAGAUAAUAAUGUACCAUAUUUAUGUGAGGAACGUAUAUAUAGAUCUAUGAAACUGAAAUAUGCAGCGGCCCAGACUGUAGUGUGUAUGUUUGUGUGUGUAUGUGUGUAGUUUUGUUGUGUAUCUAUCAAGUGGUCAGGGCCAAUAGUGACAUGUUGACAUGAAUAAAGUUUGUGUGAAUGAACACGAAGAGUAUCCAGUGUGCUUCAUAUUAUGAGACAAAACUGACUCAGCUAAGUCUGAACUGAAACCGAACACGAAAACAUGAGAUCAUCAUACUGGACUCUGCUUGUUCUUCUGAUCAUCCCUGAUGUUUAACUAAAAUCUCUUCACUUUUUCCACAUUCAGAAACUCAUCAGUCCACCA